AAAGGGAAAUGAUGCUAAAAGAUAUCGAAAAAUUAUCAUAAGCAUUAAUAAUAUUAAAUGCUAUGCUGAUCGAAAUCUAUUUGCACGUCAGUCUGAUCCCUAA